rnacentral:rRNA from 1 species
CUUCGGACCGUUGGAAUAUAUCAUGAAGAGUUUGAUCCUGGCUCAGAACGAACGCUGGCGGCGUGUCUUAAGCAUGCAAGUCGAGCGGCAAGGAAGUGCUUGCACUUCCCUAGAGCGGCGGACUGGUGAGUAACGCGUGGGUGAUCUACCUCGGGGUUGGGGAUAGCCAUUAGAAAUAGUGGGUAAUACCGAAUACGCUUCCAGGGCUACGGCCUUGGAAGGAAAGGCGCUACGGCGCCGACCUGAGAUGAGCCCGCGUCCCAUUAGCUAGUUGGUGAGGUAACGGCCCACCAAGGCGAUGAUGGGUAGGCGGCCUGAGAGGGUGUACGCCCACAUUGGGACUGAGAUACGGCCCAAACUCCUACGGGAGGCAGCAGCUAAGAAUAUUCCGCAAUGGACGAAAGUCUGACGGAGCGACGCCGCGUGGAUGAUGAAGGCCGGAAGGUUGUAAAAUCCUUUUGUCGGGGAAGAAUAAGCGCGGGAGGGAAUGCCCGCGUGAUGACAUGAACCGGCGAAUAAGCCCCGGCUAACUACGUGCCAGCAGCCGCGGUAACACGUAGGGGGCGAGCGUUGUUCGGAAUUACUGGGCGUAAAGGGCAUGUAGGCGGUCUUGUAAGCCUGACGUGAAAGGCUAUGGCUUAACCAUGGCAUUGCGUUGGGAACUGCGGGACUUGAAUCACGGAGGGGGAACUGGAAUUCCAGGUGUAGGGGUGAAAUCUGUAGAUAUCUGGAAGAACACCAGUGGCGAAGGCGAGUUCCUGGCCGAUGAUUGACGCUGAGGUGCGAAAGUGUGGGGAUCAAACAGGAUUAGAGACCCUGGUAGUCCACACUGUCAACGAUGUGCACUAGGUGCUGGGGCGGAUGUUUCAGUGCCGGAGCUAACGCGGUAAGUGCACCGCCUGGGGAGUAUGCUCGCAAGGGUGAAACUCAAAGGAAUUGACGGGGGCCCGCACAAGCGGUGGAGCAUGUGGUUUAAUUCGAUGGUACACGAGGAACCUUACCUGGGUUUGACAUGCACAGGAAUACGGCAGAGAUGUCGUAGCGCCGCAAGGCGUCUGUGAACAGGUGCUGCAUGGCUGUCGUCAGCUCGUGCCGUGAGGUGUUGGGUUAAGUCCCGCAACGAGCGCAACCCCUACUGCCAGUUACUAACAGGUAAUGCUGAGGACUCUGGCGGAACUGCCGGUGACAAACCGGAGGAAGGUGGGGAUGACGUCAAGUCCUCAUGGCCCUUAUGUCCAGGGCUACACACGUGCUACAAUGGUCGGUACAGAGUGACGCGAAGCCGCGAGGUGGAGCAAAUCGCAGAAAGCCGGCCUUAGUUCGGAUCGGAGUCUGAAACUCGACUCCGUGAAGGUGGAAUCGCUAGUAAUCGCGCAUCAGCAUGGCGCGGUGAAUACGUUCCCGGGCCUUGUACACACCGCCCGUCACACCAUCCGAGUGGAGGGCACCCGAAGCCGUUAGCCUAACCAGCAAUGGGGGGCGACGUCGAAGGUGCGCUUCGUGAGGAGGGUGAAGUCGUAACAAGGUAGUCGUACCGGAAGGUGCGGCUGGAUCACCUCCUUUCUA